AGAGUUUGAUCAUGGCUCAGAACGAACGCUGGCGGCGUGUUUAACACAUGCAAGUCGAGUGCGCGUGCCGUAGCAAUACGGUAUGGCGCACGGCGCACGGGUGCGUAACACGUGGGCAAUCUGCCCUUCGAUGGGGAAUAACUCCGGGAAACCGAAGCUAAUUCCGCAUAACAUUCCCUGGACUCCGGUUUGGGGAUUCAAAGCAGCAAUGCGUCGGAGGAGGAGCCCGCGCCCGAUUAGCUAGUUGGUAGGGUAACGGCCUACCAAGGCUUUGAUCGGUAGCUGGUCUGAGAGGAUGGCCAGCCACACUGGAACUGAGACACGGUCCAGACUCCUACGGGAGGCAGCAGUGGGGAAUCUUGCGCAAUGGGCGAAAGCCUGACGCAGCGACGCCGCGUGGGGGAUGAAGCUUCUCGGAGUGUAAACCCCUUUCGACCGGGACGAAUGCCCGCAAGGGAGUGACGGUACCGGUAGAAGAAGCCCCGGCUAACUACGUGCCAGCAGCCGCGGUAAGACGUAGGGGGCCAGCGUUGUUCGGAAUUACUGGGUGUAAAGGGUUCGUAGGCGGUGUGGCAAGUCGGGAGUGAAAUUUCUGGGCUUAACUCAGAACCUGCUUCCGAAACUGCUGUGCUCGAGUGUGGGAGAGGCGCGUGGAAUUGCAGGUGUAGCGGUGAAAUGCGUAGAUAUCUGCAGGAACACCCGUGGCGAAAGCGGCGCGCUGGACCACUACUGACGCUGAGGAACGAAAGCUAGGGGAGCAAACAGGAUUAGAUACCCUAGUAGUCC
rnacentral:rRNA from 1 species